GUCAAGGUGGCGGCCCCUAGAAGGGGAGAGGGUCUAUGUGCGCGUGGCCCCGUCCUGGAGCGGCGAGAAUCCGCAGUUUCCAGGGAAGUGAAGCAGGAAAAGCAGACUUUCGCCUCUUUUUUGAGUCUCCGUGCCUCUGUGUAGUCUUACAACACUGUCCUCCCACGCUGCCAGCUGAUAAAUGGAAUAUUGCCUGCCGUAUCAGUAAACAGAGGAUGUCAGUCAUCAGCGGUUGCAGCCACAGCUGAUGGUGAGCUGGUGAGCCUUGAGGAAACUCAGGAUAUUAAAACACAGGAUGCUGGCCCCAGAUAGCUGAGGUGCAUAUCAAAGGAAUGAUUUCGGGGCUGGAACGACUCGCCAGCACCUUUGUGCUCAGAGGAACUUCCCUGGAGUCCAGAUGUAUGACUAAGGAAGGAUGGCGAAUAGACAGUCACUCAUUCAUUGUGGAUUUAUUGAGUACCCACCACGUGCCAGGCUGUGUGCUAAGUGCUGAGGUUUAUAACUGUAAACAAAGCAGCCAUGGGCCCUGCCCUCAUGGAGUCACAGGCCAGUGAGAAGGACGGAUACUGAACAAAUGGACACACAUUUAUUUACGCAACUACAAGUUGAGAUGUGUUCUAUGAAAGAAAAGAGCAGGGUGUCUGACAGAGAAUGACUGGGGUACCUGAUUUUGGAAGAAGAUCUACAAGGCCUCUGAGAGAAAAGGCCGUCUAUGCUGAGAUGUGCAGUCAGCCAGGCAAAGAAGAGGAGGAAGAGUGUUUGAAGCAGUGGAUCCUCAGGCAAAGGUCCUGAAGCAGCAAAGAGCUUGGUGCAUUCCAGGGACUUUAGACAAACCAACCAACAACAAUGAGUAAAAGUAGAGGAGACUGGAGAAAUGAGGGCCCAGGAAGGGCCUUGUAAACUCUAUCAAACAAGAUCCCAAAGGAAAUAGAUAGCAUCCUCAAGCUGGGUAGAGAGUUUAAUAAAGGACUAUUAGGGGGACUUCCCUGGUGGCGCAGUGGUUAAGAAUCCGCCUGCCAAUUUAGGGGACGCGGGUUCGAGCCCUGGUCCGGGAAGAUCCCACAUUGCUGCGGAGCAACUAAGCCCGUGCGCCACAACUACCGAGCCCUCAUGCCACAACUACUGAAGCCUGAGUGCCUAGAGCCCAUGCUCCACAACGAGAAGCCACCACAGUGAGUAGCCCAUGCACUGCAAUGAAGAAUAGCCCCCGCUCGCGACAACUAGAGAAAGCCCAUGCACAGCAACAAAGACUCAAUGCAGCCAAAAAUAAAAUAAAUAAAUAAAUUUUAAAAAAAGGACUGUUAGGGAUUGUGUAAAUCCCUGAGGCUCCUAACAGCAGGUGUGGGCCAAGAAAGGAAGUAGUCAUCAGAACCUGAGAAAUAGGGCCACCUGCCAGAGCUGUGGCCUCGGGUCAGGAGAUGCAGCCAACUCAUGGCAACCCAGAAGGAAGGGGACUGGGAGUGUUCGUAUUGUGACCUCAGUGCAGGGAGGCCAGGGUGUGAGGGAGGAGGACACUAGGACAGUCUGUGGAGGCCGGCCUCCUGGAGGACAGAGUGGAGAAGGCACGUGGAACAGAAGACAGCAUGUACGCCUUGGGGCAGCCAAGGGUUUCUUUAUCCCUCCCCGGUGCUGCCAUUUCCCUGUUUAUCUUUCUACCUCAUUUAAUCUAGUGCAGCCACUUACUCUAGAAAUCCAGAAGGAAGGGUAGUGUCGUGCAGUGGCUCUCCAGCCUAAGUGGGCACCAGCACCACCAGGAGAGCUGGCUAAGCUCCACGGCCGAGCCCCACCUCGGUGUCUGACUGGUUGGGCUGAGGCUUGAGAAUCUGCAUUUCUAACAUUUGCAUUCCCAGGUGUUAUUGAGACAGCUGUCUUGGGUCAUUUUGCUAACUACUGUGUAGUAACUGACAAGAGUGUAUAGACUCUGGGAUUAAAUGGGACUCGUUUCAGAUCUCACCUCUGCUAUCUACCAUGUGUCACCUUUUUGAGCCUCUGAUAAACGGCUAAUAGUGCCCACUUGUGAGACUUAGAGAACAGAGACACCAUUACAUUUGUGGAUGUCAAAAAACACAGAAAAUCUGAAGAAAAAAUAUUUAUAAUAAAAUAGUAAACUUUAAGAAAAAAUCAGUAAGAGAAAGUAAGCUACCCCCAAUAGAAAAAAGUGGAAAUGUAUGAAGGGCAUGAAGUAGCACUAAAUCAAAGACUAAAAAUGACAAAAAAACACAUGAAAAGGUCUUAAACUUCACUAGUAAUGAAAGAAAUGCAAGUUAAACCACCCAUCAGCAUUGUUUGCCUGUUGAACUAGCAGGAAUGUUUUAAAAAAUGAAAAUAGUUCAUGUUGAAAAGGCUGUGGAGAAAGAGGCCC